GACGAACGCUGGCGGCGUGCUUAACACAUGCAAGUCGAACGGAAAGGCCCUUCGGGGUCCUCGAGUGGCGAACGGGUGAGUAACACGUGGGUGAUCUGCCCUGCACUUUGGGAUAAGCCUGGGAAACUGGGUCUAAUACCGAAUAGGACCACGCGCUUCAUGGUGUGUGGUGGAAAGCUUUUGCGGUGUGGGAUGGGCCCGCGGCCUAUCAGCUUGUUGGUGGGGUAAUGGCCUACCAAGGCGACGACGGGUAGCCGGCCUGAGAGGGUGACCGGCCACACUGGGACUGAGAUACGGCCCAGACUCCUACGGGAGGCAGCAGUGGGGAAUAUUGCACAAUGGGCGCAAGCCUGAUGCAGCGACGCCGCGUGCGGGAUGACGGCCUUCGGGUUGUAAACCUCUUUCAAUAGGGACGAAGCGCAAGUGACGGUACCUAUAGAAGAAGCACCGGCCAACUACGUG
rnacentral:rRNA from 1 species